rnacentral:rRNA from 1 species
GACGAACGCUGGCGGCGUGCUUAGCACAUGCAAGUCGUACGGUGAGGCCCUUUCUGGGGUACACGGGUGGCUAGCGGGUGAGUAACACAUGAGUAAGCUGCCCACAACUUUCUUAGAACUAUAGGAAGCUGAUGCGUAUUCUUGAUGGGUGCUCCUUCUUCAUGGUGGGGGGUGUGGAGCUCCGGGGGUUGUGGAUGGACUCGCGGCCUGUCGGCUUGUUGGUGGGGUAGUGGGCUACCGAGGCGGCGACGGGUGGCCGGCCUGAGAGAGUGGCCGGCUACGUUGGGGCUGAGAUACGGCCGAGACUCCGACGGGAGGAAGCAGUGGGGAAUAUUGCACAAUGGGCGCAGGGAUGAUGCAGCAACGACGCGUGCGGGAUGACGGCCUUCGGGUUGUACACAGCUUUCAGCAGCGACGAAGCUUUUUGUGACGGUACUUGGAGAAGAAGCACCGGCUAACUACGUG